UGGGGAAUCUUGGACAAUGGGCGCAGGCCUGAUCCAGCCAUGCCGCGUGGAUGAUGAAGGCCUUAGGGUUGUAAAAUCCUUUCGUUGGGGACGAUAAUGACGGUACCCAAAGAAGAAGCUCCGGCUAACUUCGUGCCAGCAGCCGCGGUAAUACGAAGGGGGCUAGCGUUGUUCGGAUUUACUGGGCGUAAAGCGCGUGUAGGCGGGUCGUUAAGUUGGGGGUGAAAUCCCGAGGCUCAACCUCGGAACUGCCUUCAAAACUGGCGACCUGGACCUAAGUAGAGGCAAGUGGAAUUGCGAGUGUAGAGGUGAAAUUCGUAGAUAUUCGCAGGAACACCAGUGGCGAAGGCGACUUGCUGGACUUAUGGUGACGCUGAGACGCGAAAGCGUGGGGAGCAAACAGGAUUAGAUACCCCAGUAGUCCCUGAGCGGGCUGGCAAGGCGCAU
rnacentral:rRNA from 1 species